AACGCUGGCGGCAUGCCUUACACAUGCAAGUCGAACGGCAGCGCGGGGCAACCUGGCGGCGAGUGGCGAACGGGUGAGUAAUAUAUCGGAACGUGCCCUGGAGUGGGGGAUAACGCAGCGAAAGUUGCGCUAAUACCGCAUACGAUCUAAGGAUGAAAGCGGGGGAUUCGCAAGAACCUCGUGCUCCUGGAGCGGCCGAUAUCUGAUUAGCUAGUUGGUGGGGUAAAGGCCUACCAAGGCAUCGAUCAGUAGCUGGUCUGAGAGGACGACCAGCCACACUGGAACUGAGACACGGUCCAGACUCCUACGGGAGGCAGCAGUGGGGAAUUUUGGACAAUGGGCGAAAGCCUGAUCCAGCAAUGCCGCGUGAGUGAAGAAGGCCUUCGGGUUGUAAAGCUCUUUUGUCAGGGAAGAAACGGUAUGGGCUAAUAUCCCGUACUAAUGACGGUACCUGAAGAAUAAGCACCGGCUAACUACGUGCCAGCAGCCGCGGUAAUACGUAGGGUGCAAGCGUUAAUCGGAAUUACUGGGCGUAAAGCGUGCGCAGGCGGUUUUGUAAGUUUGUCGUGAAAGCCCCGGGCUCAACCUGGGAAUUGCGAUGAAGACUGCAAGGCUUGAAUCUGGCAGAGGGGGGUAGAAUUCCACGUGUAGCAGUGAAAUGCGUAGAGAUGUGGAGGAACACCGAUGGCGAAGGCAGCCCCCUGGGUCAAGAUUGACGCUCAUGCACGAAAGCGUGGGGAGCAAA
rnacentral:rRNA from 1 species